rnacentral:lncRNA from 1 species
AGCUCUGUCCCCACGGAAGUGGGCUCUUCUGGUUGCAACAUGGUGGAGGCCAGCCCGGCCUCAGGUGAGGGAAGAUGCCACAGCAAACCUCUGAGCAACCAAGAUGACAAGCACCUGCUUGGAAAAGGUGACAAGCCACAAGGCCAUAGGCCCAGUUAUAAGGAUGAAUUGUGUUACACGAAUGGUUAUAAACCUGACCGACCUCAGAAGGUAUAUGGAGGAGGCAAUUAUCAAGCCCCUUGGUGGUCUGUGGCUGGAUGCACCAUACUUUGCCAACGGUGUGAGCAUGGCAGAGAAUGUAGGUGUGUAUAUAGGGGAAAACCUCCAGAAAGUUUUUUCUGUGGGAGUUCUUUGUAAAAUAAUAACAAUGCAACUAGAAUUAUAUUGCAAUCUAUAAAGG